rnacentral:lncRNA from 1 species
UAUCAAACGUACACUGGAAUUUGUGUUGUCGAGUUUGACAGCGUUCGGUGAGCGGCAGCCAUGUCACAGUAUGGAGGCAACAAGAGCGGACCGCCGCCCUGGGCUCAGACGCCCGGCAUGCUGCAGAGGCCAGUGUACUCGGAGGCCGGUAAUUCAUCCAUCCGGGCAUCCCCCAUCACCUACCAAACGCCGCAGCAGCUGGGCCAGCAGACGCUG